CAGUCGCCGCGGUAAUACGAAGGGUGCAAGCGUUACUCGGAAUUACUGGGCGUAAAGCGUGCGUAGGUGGUGGUUUAAGUCCGUUGUGAAAGCCCUAAGCUCAACCUGGGAAUUGCAGUGGAUACUGGGUCACUAGAGUGUGGUAGAGGAUAGUGGAAUUUCCGGUGUAGCAGUGAAAUGCGUAGAGAUCGGAAGGAACAUCUGUGGCGAAGGCGACUAUCUGGGCCAACACUGACACUGAGGCACGAAAGCGUGGGGAGCAAACAGGAUUAGAUACCCCAGUAGUCCCUGUCUCUUAUAC
rnacentral:rRNA from 1 species